CCCUUAGAUUGUCUGGGCGGCACGCGCGCUACAAUGAUGCAUUCAAAAAGUCUUCUGACCUUAGAAGGUUGGGUAUUCUCCAAAGUGCAUCGUGAUGGGAAUAGUUUAUUGCAACUUUUAAUCUUGAACGAGGAAUUCCUAGUAAGUACAGGUCAUCAACUUGUGUUGAUUACGUCCCUGCCCUUUGUACACACCGCCCGUCGCUCCUACUGAUUGAGUGUCUCGGUGAAUUCGUUGAUCUUCUGUCGAUUCAGUUCACUGAUCCGACGGUGGAAAGUUGAAUGAACUUCGUCACUUAGAGGAAGGAGAAGUCGUAACA
rnacentral:rRNA from 1 species